CCAACUACAUGACGAUGGUGGGGUGAGUACGUAGUGGGCAAUGCGUAACCGGAAUUAUUUGGCGUGCAGCGGGAGGAUGUGGUUUCAUAAUGCUGAGGUGAAAGCCCACGGCUCAGACGUGGAGGGUCAUUGGAAACUGGGAGACUUGAGUGCAGAAGAGGAAAGUGGAAUUCCAUGUGUAGCGGUGAAAUGCGUAGAGAUAUGGAGGAACACCAGUGGCGAAGGCGACUUUCGGGUCUGUAACUGACACUGAGGCGCGAAAGCGUGGGGAGCAAACAGGAUUAGAUACCCCAGUAGUC
rnacentral:rRNA from 1 species